rnacentral:lncRNA from 1 species
GAGAAACGCAGGAUCCACUCCCGGCCUAAGCACCAGUUUUGUCUCCAACCACCUGCCUUUGAAGCCCGGAGGCCUGAAUUCCAGCAUCCUUCACCAAGCGAGGUGUGGGCGUGUGCGGUGGCCCACGACCCAGAACAACAGACGCAGAGAGGCCACACCAGCAUACGGAAAUUCCUGGACCAGUGACUGAAUCCAAGGAGCCAUAGCCACGGUCACGCCAGACCUUUAACCCACUGCACUAGGCCAGGGAUGGAACCCGCACCUCUGCAUCGACCCGAGCUGCUGCAGUCGGAUCCUUAACCCACUGCACCACAGUGGGAACUCCAGAGCUACUUAUUGCUUAACCCAAGACGGACCCUCCUCUGUACGUGGUGUGUGUCCUCCGUGCCUGGAUGCUGGGAUUCGCGUCUUGAAAGGGGUUUUUGGUGAAAGCACGGCUACCAGACAACCUGGUAUUUGCAAAACCACCAGGAGCAAAACCCAUUGAAAUACAGCGUAAGGAAAUACACAUAAUUCACAAAUGAUGUUGAUCACUUUCAUCUUAGACUUCCUAACUGUCCUCAAUAGAAGACAGACGCCAAGGAGAUUUAACUCAGAUGUUAAUAGUGCAGAGAAUGCCCCGUUACCAGGGAAUGCUGCUUCGGUGCUGCAUGAAAAUUUUCCUGCCGCGAUGCCAUUGAUUUUGGAACGGGAGGGACAGAAUUUUAUCCAACGAAUAUUCACUAAGCAUCUGCGAUGCGGGAGGCCCCGGAUGAGGUACCAGAGGCCACCAGAUUCGGUCCCUGCUUUCAAGUCCUGGCCAGUCUGGAAGGGGAGAGGAGCAAGGCCCAGAGAGUUGGAGUGGAGGGCAGGCGGGCUUGGCGGAGACGCCGAGGAGCAGGUGACCUUUGUCCUGGGCUUCGAAGAGAGACGAGUUUCUCCAUAAGGGACAUGGUACAUAAAAUACAAAAAUAGAACAUUUUAGAAAGGCUUUUUGGCCUCUCUGGAAAGAUUUACAUGGAGAAAGAAUGUUCUCUUCCUCCUUUUAUUAAUUUAAUAGCAGCAGCCAGAAUCCACCUCUCUGAGCCCUGGUUCCCAGCACACCUUCCCUGUAGCUUCUAGGUCUUUCUAUUCCUAGUCUUCUUCUUCUUCUUUUUUUUCUGUAUUCCCCAGGGCCAGGGAUUGAAUCUGAGCUGUGGCAACGCUGGGUCCUUUAACCCACUAUGCCGGGCCCGGGAUCGAACCUCUACCUUCACAAGGACCCAAGCCACUGCAGUUGGGUUCUUAACCUACUGCACCACAGCAGGAACUCCUGGUCUUUCUAGUCUUAUAGUUUCUAUUGGAUAUGCUCCUGUUUUUCCUCCCGGAAGCAGUGGAAACAAAUCUGACUAGGAGCCAUGAGGUUGCAGGUUCGAUCUCUGGCCUCGCUCAGUGGGUUCAUCUUGUGACCAGAGGUUGUGUCCUGCUCAGCCUUUUACCCUUCAAGGGCCUUAUCAUACUGCCUUGCCUUUGGUAAGCACUUAAGACAUGCUUGUUGGGUUGAAUGUUCACUGGGAAUUUUGGGGGGGGGGGCGUUGUGCACGCGGUAUGCAGAAGUUUCCAGGCCAAGGAACGAACACUAGCCAUAGUGGUGACGACGCCAGCUCCUUAUCUGCUAGUCCACCAGGAAACUGCUCACCAGGAAUUUAGGAAAAAAAUGUUUUAGACAAAGAGCAUUUUUCUGGGAUACUGUGGCUAAUAUACUGGGAUUGGGUAAGUACUUAGUGGUUAUAGAUUUUUUAAAAACAUUUUGAAAAAAAUAAAAAUAAAAAACAUUUUGAGAAGAG